AGCAGCCGCGGUAAUUCCAGCUCCAAUAGCGUAUAUUAAAGUUGUUGCAGUUAAAAAGCUCGUAGUUGAAUUUCGGGGUCUGUCCAUUGGUCGGGCUUUACGGUCCGUACUGGUGAGAUGGGUUCCUACCUUCUGAAUAACCAGCAUGCCAUUUAGUUGGUGCGUUGGGGAAGCAGAGCUAUUACCUUGAAAAAAUUAGAGUGCUUAAAGCAGGCUAGUGCUUGAAUAGAUUAGCAUGGAAUAAUAAAAUAGGACGGCAUGGUUCUAUUUUGUUGGUU
rnacentral:rRNA from 1 species